ACUUUACAAUGCGGGAAACCGUGAUAAGGGAACUCCGAGUGCCCGUAAAAUCGGGCUGUCCAUCUGUUUAAAUAACAGGUGAAGAAAGGGCCGGGCAAGACCGGUGCCAGCCGCCGCGGUAAUACCGGCGGCUCGAGUGGUGGCCACUAUUACUGGGCUUAAAGCGUUCGUAGCUGGUCUGUUAAGUCUCUGGGGAAAUCUACUGGCUUAACCAAUAGGCGUUUCAGGGAUACUGGCAGACUAGGGACCGGGAGAGGUGAGAGGUACUCCAGGGGUAGGA
rnacentral:rRNA from 1 species